rnacentral:rRNA from 1 species
UCUCCUUUCUCUAAUCAGUGAAACUGAUCUUCCCGUGAAGAAGCGGGAAUUAAUUUAUAAGACGAGAAGACCCCAUGGAGCUUUAAACCCAAUUACAUCCCUAUAUUUUAUUCCCUUUUAAUCUUUAAGGCCCUGUAUAUCUGGUUUUAGGUUGGGGUGACCGCGGAGCACAAAUAAGCCUCCACGAUGAAUGGAAUUAUCCCCUUAUCUAAGAACUACACUUCUAAGAAUUAAUAUUUUAACAUUUAAUGAUCCAAUAAUUGAUCAACGAACCAAGUUACCCUGGGGAUAACAGCGCAAUCCACUUCAAGAGCUCCUAUCGACAAGUGGGUU